UUUCCGUUGGUGAACCUGCGGAAGGAUCAUUAAUGAGUUGUCAUGGGGUUCGAUGCUGGCAGCCAGUUUUUGGAUGCAUGUGCUUGCCCUAACAAUCAUCUUCUUCCAAACACCUGUGCACAUUUUUGAGGGAGUCUUGAGUUGGUUGCCGCUCUUGGGUGAUUUUCUCACAUUCCCUUAAAUCAUUAUACGCUAUUAACAAUGUUGAACGUGCUCUGUGCCGCAAGGCCAUUAAUAUAAUACAACUUUUAACAACGGAUCUCUUGGCUCUC
rnacentral:misc_RNA from 1 species